rnacentral:rRNA from 1 species
UACGUAGGUGGCAAGCGUUGUCCGGAUUUACUGGGCGUAAAGAGCGCGCAGGCGGUCAGAUAAGUCGAAUGUGAAAGCCCCCGGCUCAACUGGGGAGGGUCAUUCGAUACUGUUCGACUCGAAGGCAGGAGAGGGAAGUGGAAUUCCCGGUGUAGUGGUGAAAUGCGUAGAUAUCGCUUGGAACGCCGACGGCGAAAGCAGUCUGCUGGGGGUGUGCUGACGCUGAGACACGAAAGCCAGGGGAGCGAACGGG